CGUGUGUUCUUUUCAGAAAUUCAGAUCUCAAAUUCGCGUUUGUCACCGUUACCCGCAGCAAGGAACCAUACAUCGCAUUCUUUGGAUUUUUCUGAUCUGAAUCUAUCAGGUUUGAAAAUAAGAAUAUGCGUGUCGAUUUGUAUUUUGCCAAACUCAGAGAUGUAGCUUCGAUUGAAUCAGAAUUUAAAAGCUUGUAGUACCAUUGUUCAUAUGUUUGAUCGCAUAGCGGAGUGGAUAUCGCGUUAGACUCCGGAUCUAAAGGUCGUGGGUUCGAAUCCCACUGCGAUCGUUCCAUUCUUGGCAAUGGCGUUUUCAUUUUUUUUCCCCUUUAAGAUUUUGAGUUUUCAGCUUGUUAAUUUUGUUUUUUCAACCAUAUAUGGUAAUUCAUGUUAUCUGUGUUGCAUGUUGUUGCCAUUAUUUGCAAGUUGCAACUACAGUUUAAAAAAUAAGAAAUAUCACGUGAAUUUUAAGAUAUGCGGUAAUUGUUUGGCCUGUAACAUUGUUUAGCUAAUCAAUCUUCAAAGCCUGGUACAUUAUGAUGUAAAUUUUAUUUUUGGUAGUUGCAACCAUAGUCUUAAUAAGUAAAUUUGAAAAGAAGUGAUAAGGAUAUUAUACUUCUGCCACUGUUAUCUACUGUUUAGAAAUAGGGAACUAUCUCAUUGUAAUUCAUCAUUAGUUUAAGGUUAUAUCACAAAGGAAAUGUAAUUUGUGUUGGGUCCAAUUCAUCUUGAUCAAUACCUUAGCUUGUUAUUUAACAUUCUUCUCUACAUUGCCUAUAAUUGUUGACUUACAUAAAUAGAGAAACACUUGAGAGAAUCAAAAGUGCUCAUGCAAUUAAUUAAGGUUGUCCAUUCUGCAUCAAUUAGCUUAUCUUAACUCUUGGCAAUUAUAUCAAUGAACUUAUUAUCUCAAUUGGGGACUUUGGCAAUAGAAUGGUAUGACUUUUUGUUCAGGAGUUGAAGAGGAAGCAUAGCAACACCAGAAGGCAUACCAAUCCAUGGUUGAGGAUUGCAUUGUAAAGGGGCUAAGUAGAUUAACCUUCUAAACUGUACCAUUGAGAUUGAUACUACUGUAGUAGAGUUGUAAAUGUAUUAUCUUUGUAAACUUUAUGAUUUUGAUUAUACUAAGUGGCUUUAUAUUUUGUAAUA